AAGAGUAUAAUUUAACGGUAAAAUAGGAAGCUUCAAACUUCAAAUUCUCAGUUCAAGUCCGAGUACUCUUG
rnacentral:tRNA from 1 species